rnacentral:rRNA from 1 species
CCUACGGGUGGCAGCAGUGGGGAAUAUUGGACAAUGGGCGAAAGCCUGAUCCAGCCAUGCCGCGUGUGUGAAGAAGGCCUUCGGGUUGUAAAGCACUUUCAGUGGGGAAGAAAGCCUUGGGGCUAAUACCCUCGAGGAAGGACAUCACCCACAGAAGAAGCACCGGCUACACUCCGUGCCAGCAGCCGCGGUAAUACGGAGGGUGCGAGCGUUAAUCGGAAUUACUGGGCGUAAAGCGCGCGUAGGCGGUCUGAUAAGCCGGUUGUGAAAGCCCCGGGCUCAACCUGGGAACGGCAUCCGGAACUGUCAGGCUAGAGUGCAGGAGAGGAAGGUAGAAUUCCCGGUGUAGCGGUGAAAUGCGUAGAGAUCGGGAGGAAUACCAGUGGCGAAGGCGGCCUUCUGGACUGACACUGACGCUGAGGUGCGAAAGCGUGGGUAGCAAACAGGAUUAGAUACCCCUGUAGUC